rnacentral:rRNA from 1 species
CAUUACUGAGUUACCGCUCAUCAACCCUUUGUGAACAUACCUUAACUGUUGCUUCGGCGGGUAGGCGUCCCCUAAAAAGGACGUCUCCCGGCCCUCUCCCGUCCGCGGGUGGGGCGCCCGCCGGAGGAUAACCAAACUCUGAUUUAACGACGUUUCUUCUGAGUGACACAAGCAAAUAAUCAAAACUUUUAACAACGGAUCUCUUGGUUCUGGCAUCGAUGAAGAACGCAGCGAAAUGCGAUAAGUAAUGUGAAUUGCAGAAUUCAGUGAAUCAUCGAAUCUUUGAACGCACAUUGCGCCCGCCAGCAUUCUGGCGGGCAUGCCUGUUCGAGCGUCAUUUCAACCCUCAAGCUCUGCUUGGUGUUGGGGCUCUACGGUUGACGUAGGCCCUUAAAGGUAGUGGCGGACCCUCUCGGAGCCUCCUUUGCGUAGUAACAUUUCGUCUCGCAUUGGGAUUCGGAGGGACUCUAGCCGUAAAACCCCCAAUUUUACUAAGGUUGACCUCGGAUCAGGUAGGAAUACCCGCUGAACUUAAGCAUAUCAAUA